rnacentral:lncRNA from 1 species
UUCCUAAAAUAUGUAUGCAUAUGAAGGUAAUUGAUCAAAAUGAAAUCACCAAAUAAUGUGGGAGACAGAGCUCCAAUUGGUCAUCUCUUUUCACCAAAUGAAGCUUCCAGUGCUGAAAUUGGGCUACAUCUUAUUGAGCUGUUGGCCAAAGAAGUCCCAUAGAAAUCCCCUCAAACUCUACUGUUGCCAAACAAACUGACUGCAAGGUCCCUUCCCUGAAGACAACACCUAUACAAACCAUUAAACACAUAGAAGUAGGCCUGGUGCCUACAAAGAAACUUCACUCUUAGGUUCUAGUGUUUUGGGCACAGGAAGGCCCUCUACUUGCUACCAAAGGAGAAACAUAAGCACCAACCCAGUCAUGAACCCUUUGAUCUACACACAAUCUCUGCUUGAAUAUGUGCUAGUGCAAUGAUGGCACAAAGUUUGUGGGAGUAACCAAAUAAUAGAUGUUUUUUGACUUAAGGCCAACUCCAUGAGAUGAAACUCAUACCUGAGACUGGGUAGCCCCGCCUCCUAGUAGCCCCUACAGGUGUUCCUGGCGUGGUCAAGUGAGGUCAAAGAUGACGCUGGGACAAUUCUUAAGGGACCGCGCACACGUGGAGACCCCUUCUCUCUGGCCAUGCUAGCUUGCAGCCUCUGGGCACACUCUGGCUUGCGUUUGGGCUGGUGUUUAUCUAAAUAAAGAAAUCUUAGCCUUAAGGACUAGGGAUCAUCUUUGAGCGCAGGCAGCACGCAAUAGUCAAUAAUCAACACGUGGCGCCCAACACCCACGACCCACGCAGCUCCUACGCCUGCCAGGGCUCCACGAGACUGCUUCACAUCCUGGGCCUCUGCUUUCCGGUCCAGGAGCUGCAGGAACUGUGGGAAAAUGCACGGCCGCUAAGCAGUGAGUUACGCUCUCCCUUCCCGGCUCAUUCCCGCCCAAACUGCUUCCGUGAACCCCCACGGGUUUUGCUACUCCCGGUAGCACUUUGCAAUUUGUGCCACAGCUACCUGGCAUCUGCGUAGCUGCUGGCAGAAAAACCGCGUGCCUGCCUAGCUCUGCUCGGCAGCCGGUUUGCAGCUUUUAUCCACAGAAACUGCUCACCGCCGAGUCCACGCUCCCCGGUUCCCGCUAAGCUAAGUUGUGAGCUGCUGCGCGCCACAGCCUGUCACCACCUCGGCUUCUUGCUGCAACCUUCAUUGCCCCCAGGCUCCGACCGCCAUCCGCUGGGCCAGACCCUGGAUGCACCCGCUGCCGCGUGAGUCCUUUCGAAUUUAGCUGUGGGUACGGUCACCUGCUUGACGCAAAUACCUGCCGGAUAUAAGUGCCAUGCUCUACCAUCAUCAGAAAAGCUUCCUCCUGUGGCAGAUGGGAACAAAUACAGAGACUCACAUCCAGACAUUGUGCAGAGACUGAGAAACCUUGGAACACAGCCCUAAUUGGAUGUCUCCAUCAAAUCCCUCCCCCCAGGACUUAGGGAACCCCAAAAGGAUGUAAGAGCCAGAGGUGAUGGAGGAUACCAACAAAAUAAGGCCCUCUAAAUCAACAUGAUCAAAGCCCAUAUGAACUCACAGAGAUUGGGGUAGAAGGCACAGGCCCUGCACAGGUCUGCACCAAGUGGGAUCCUAGAGCUCAAAGGGGAAAAGGACACAUGGCCCAUCCCUAAUCCAGAAGCAAUCUUCAAAUGAUAACACUUGCAAAUGAAAAUAUAAUCUUCUUCAAGGGAGGCUCACUGGGGAAACAAACUAUUCUUAAGGAUGGGCUGCUUACCCAGCAGUAGAUGCCAACAGAAGAUGAACGAAUAGCGUCUUUGGGGUUCCUUGCCUUCUAAUGUUGUGUCAUGGAUUUUCUUUUUUUUCCCUAAAAUUUUAAAUGCUGUAAGGAGACCUAGAGAUUGGGAGAUGGUUAUGAUCAUAAUAUGAAAUUCUCAAAGACUGAAUAAAAUAUUAUAUAUAAUAUAAUGCCAUAGGGAAACCUGAUACAUUACAUCCCAAUGAAAAGAGAUGCCUUCUAGAAUGUUUUUAUAUCAUUAUUUUAUAUACG